GAUGAACGCUGGCGGCGUGCCUAAUACAUGCAAGUCGAGCGAACAGAUGAGGAGCUUGCUCCUCUGACGUUAGCGGCGGACGGGUGAGUAACACGUGGAUAACCUACCUAUAAGACUGGGAUAACUUCGGGAAACCGGAGCUAAUACCGGAUAAUAUAUUGAACCGCAUGGUUCAAUAGUUAAAGACGGUUUUGCUGUCACUUAUAGAUGGAUCCGCUCCGCAUUAGCUAGUUGGUAAGGUAACGGCUUACCAAGGCAACGAUGCGUAGCCGACCUGAGAGGGGGAUCGGCCAAACGGGAACUGAGAAACGGGCAAGACACCAACGGGAGGCAGCAGGAGGGAAUCUUCCGCAAUGGGCGAAAGCCUGACGGAGCAACGCCGCGGGAGUGAUGAAGGUCUUCGGAUCGUAAAACUCUGUUAUUAGGGAAGAACAAAGGUGUAAGUAACUAUGCACGUCUGGACGGUACCUAAACAGAAAGCCACGGCUAACUACGU
rnacentral:rRNA from 1 species